ACUGCCCCUGCAGGAUACCUCUAAAUAUGCAGGAGACUACUACCAGUUGUGUCAAUUGUAUGACUAUUUGUAUGAAAUAUUUAAGUUAACAAAGAUCUAGGAAUCAGUGAAAAAAAAUCAGUUCAAUCCAAAUGAAUAAAAAUAUGCCUUAAGAGAUUAGGGCUUCGUGAUAAAAAGACACCAACGGGACAGUAACGCUAGCCUAUUACUACAGCUAAAGAUAAGCAAAGUCGAGCUCCACGUCAAGGAAAACAAUAAGGAGCACCGCACUGAUGACGUAACCGUAAAACGUUUGAUGGUGCGGCGUGGCCAGAACUUCAAAAUCACUCUCAAGACCAAUCGGCAGUUCCAGCCUGAUACCGACACGCUAAUUUUUACUGCGGAGACAGGACCCAAGCCAUCAGAGGAAAAGGGCACGCGUUGCGUGUUUGGUUACCCAAAGUUGACGGGUGCAAAGAAAGCAUGGACAGCACUGGUACAGGAG
ensembl:lncRNA